rnacentral:tRNA from 1 species
GGAGGUUGUGAAACUCAAGGGUCCUGCUUUGCAAGCAGGGGGUCACCGGUUCAAGUCCGGUUACCUCCACCA